GGUCAAAACUCCUGUGCUGAUCAGUAGUGGGAUUGUGCCUGUGAAUAGCUACUGCACUCCAGCCUGGGCAACAGAGUGAGA
rnacentral:miRNA from 1 species